GACCCAUGAUGAGGGCACCUUCUCAAUAAGUCCUUGUAUUCUCCUAUGCAUCAUAUAAAGUUUCUGCAUCAAUUUACACAAAGGAGGAGAUAUCAUUCCUCAACUU
rnacentral:snoRNA from 1 species